rnacentral:rRNA from 1 species
AACGACCUACGGGGGGCAGCAGUGGGGAAUAUUGCACAAUGGGGGAAACCCUGAUGCAGCAACGCCGCGUGAGUGAAGAAGGUUUUCGGAUUGUAAAGCUCUGUUAGCAGGGAAGAGGAAGGACGGUACCUGCAGAGGAAGCCACGGCUAACUACGUGCCAGCAGCCGCGGUAAUACGUAGGUGGCAAGCGUUGUUCGGAAUAACUGGGCGUAAAGGAUGCGUAGGCGGUUAAACAAGUUAUAUGUUAAAUAUAUAGGCUUAACCUGUAGAAAGCAUAUAAAACUGUUUAAAUAGGGUGAGGGCG